AUCAUGAAACAUGGCGAAACAAAUUGUUGCUAUUGUAUACUUAUUUUUCUGUGAUUCCGAAUACUGAAUUGAACUUCGUUUGUAAAGUCAGUCGUCAGUCCAUCAUUCCGACAAGUUGACUUAGUGCUCAGUCAAUUUCCAUCCAUUAGAUCCUUAUGCUGUCAAAAGCCUGAAACUCAUAUUUGAAGCCAGCAUACAGUGGAAUUAUGCAAAAGUUCUUGCGCAUGGGCAUCUUUUCUGAAUCUUGCAAGUGUAACCUGUGUCAGAAUGUUUCUCGAGUGUACAACUGUGUCUAGAUGCUACAGCCAUUCAGAAGGCAACCCAGCCGAGAGAUGGAGUUCCAGUUUCAGUGAAUGAACAUGAAGUGUGUGAAGUGUAUUUAGUACAUUUACCAGAUCUGCUUGAUGAAAGUCAAAUACCUUACUGAAGUCACCCAAAUGAUAAAGAACUAUUUGUGACGUCCCAUGAGAUCGCGAGUCGACCGCAUGUUUCAAUCUACAACGCAGUUUCUUCAUGGAAUCGUGAGGUCCUAGCACGGAGAUCCUUGAGCCAACGCUGGCUUUUGUCCAUGACAGAAGAGGGACUUCUACCAACGUUCGGAUCCUUAUCUUCACGACGUACGCUGCUUCUUGUGCUUCACUGUUGAAUUAGAUCACUUCAGUGUUCGCUUCCGUACGCUGUGAAAUACCUGCAGUCACUCGCCACGGGAUUAUGCCCAGGUAAUACAGCGGAGACGUCGAGAAGAUGGACACCAAAACAUCACCGGCAUCUCCAAAAUGUC